UACGAAAGGUGCAGGCGUUACUCGGAAUCACUGGGCGUAAAGCGCACGUAGGCGGACUUACAGGUCAAUUGUGAAAUACCUGGGCUCAACCCGGGAACUGCAGUUGAAACCGUUUGUCUUGAAUACCUGAGAGGGUGGGGGAAUACCUGGUGGAGAAGUGAAAUUCGUAGAGAUCAGGUGGAACACCGGAGGCGAAGGCGCCUGCCUGGCAGUGUAUUGACGCUGAGGUGCGAAAGUGCGGGGAGCAAACAGG
rnacentral:rRNA from 1 species